UGAGAUCUAACUGCCUGCAGUUUGUCUCCUGCAGACUCACUCACACAUCUAUACAGGAAAACAAGAAUACAUAUCCACAAAUACACACCAGACAGAAAUCUGACUACUCACAGGUCAGAGCCAGGCUGAAACCUGUUUUGAUGCAAAGCUUUCUGGGAAUUCUGUCUUCUCUCUUUUCCUCCUAAUUGCCUUGUUUACUUUUUGAGGUCGACUUCAAGUGGUUUUGUGACUAAAAGCUUUCCACGGCGAUGACUGAUGUCUUGGACAGGACACGAGUGGGAUUACAAGACACUUUGGCCACCACAGCGAGGAUGAAUAAAUUCCUACUUCCAGGACACUUCAGAGGACACUACGGUUUAUUAGUUUUGGAAGGAUCCCCAGCUCUUCACAGUGGCCAUUAAUGAGAUGCUGUAAAACGAAUGGAAAAGCGCAGAGUGCGAAUGUGAAUGUUUUUCUUCACUGCAAAGGUCGUCACCUUUCUGUGCCGCUGUGCAGAAGUUUUUGUUUACGUCAGUUAUAGCAAGAUGAGGCAAGAUUUCUUAGUAAGACUACUGCUGGCUAAAAACAAGUUUUAAAAUCCCCUAGUUUGUUAAGUUUGGUAUAUUGCCAGCAGGAAAUAGCCACAGCAUCAUCUUCUCCCAACUAUUCGCCAUGUACUCUACUAUGUUACCAAACAGCAUUACAAUAAGAAUUACAAACAGUACAAAGGUCUGUAUUGCAAAGUAAUUUGAGUACAUAUGAUCAAGUGAAUCUUGCUUAAAGCUGCACUAAUAAAUAUUUUUAUAGUAAAAAUGGUUCAAAUGACGA